UGUCCAAGGGAUAGGGGUUUUUUCCUGGAGAAUAAACUCAUGAACUCAACCUGGUCUUUUGGUAGUUUUACUAACCCUCUGUGGCAGGCUUGAGCACCCUGUUACAUUUUGGCGCCCAACGUAAAAAAACUUAAGGAGGAGUCAGCAGUGACGAUUGUCUGAGGUAUGAACCGGACUAUAGCAAGUCUACGAACUGUAGGAGCGAUAUCCGGCGAUGACGUCAAGGUGACCUUGACAGAUAUAAUAUAGAUUAUAACUCGACCUUGACCUACGUUACCCGCUUCCGGUGAAGAACGUGAUUUUUUCUGUGUCGUGUUUAUAAACAUUUUUCUGCGAUGGUGUUCCUUGCUAAAUACUCAUCUGUGUUUAUUUCAUGGACCAUAGCAGUGGAUCGGGAACAAUUGACAAUACAGAAACCAGUCUCUUGAUUACUGUUGAACCAGAUGUGAUUUCUGAACCUACAGAUCUCAGCCGAAGGAUGACAUAUUGGCAGAUAAAAUCAGUCAUACUGCACUCUCAGAUCAAGGGGAAUAAAUCUGUAUUAAUUGAGAUCAUGGACCCCAUGUAAGUCAACAACUUCUGACCUGAUAUUGGAUGAUAGCCACAGACUUGACACAAAUGCAGCAAAAACAGCUCAGCAUGUGAGCACAACUGGAGGAGUACAAAUGUAAAACACCUGGAACAUGUUCAUAGACUUCUACAGAUUGAGUGUAGGAUAGAGCUUAUGAUAUAUAUUCUUGAACGACCUGACCAAGGACCAGCUUGGAGAAUUCCAGCUCAUGGACACGAAAAGUUUCCUAAAACAGAACAUUAAUUGUACCACAGUUGCAGUAACAGGCUGAGGACGCCUCCGCUCCCCAAAGACCGGGUUCACCAAGAACAACACAAACAAUACUUGAACACAGCAAACUUCCUAAAACAGACCAACAUUCUACCACAGCUGCUGUCUGUCACAGGUCAUGGCUGAAGACAUCUGCCCAAAGACUGGGUUCACUUAAUUAGGAAUAACACAAACAAUACUUGGAUAACACCCCUUCAGGCAUAUGUAGUAUGAAGAUAAGAACAUUGUGACUUAGAGCUAGUCCGAAUUAUGGCCUCUACAACAAACAGAGGUUUACUGGUGUCACUCUGUCAUACACAAAAUCUUGUCUAGACUCAUAACUAUUUAGCAUUGUUCAGGUUCAACCAAAGUCUGUAUACAAAUGUAUGACUGUCUUAAUUGCGACAUAUGCAUUAUUUUAAUGGGCAAUUUUACUGUACACUGCUACCUUAUCAAUGUAUAUUUUGAUGCUUGAUUAUAAGUUUGAAUUACAUUCUUUAUUACUCAAAAAUAUCAAAUUUGUCAAACAACUAUCUUGUCAUUAUUGGAUGAUCAAAGGGAGAUAACUCACUUAUCUGUUUCAUAUUUUCAAGGUGGGUUUAUAAUCAUAAUAUUCAGUGAAUUAGUGUUAUUUAAAUAAUUAUUAGAUGUUAUAUAACAAACUCAAAAUGGCUGAUUGGAUUUCUCACAAUCCAUAUAAACUGAAUCUUGGUUUGUUUUACCCAGUUUUCUACCAUAGCUGAAUACAUGGAUACUAAUUGAAAGAAAUUUUAUUUUUUGAAAUCGUUGGUAAAAACACUACAUGCAUAUUUUUAAUUUACUUUCACAAUGAUAUGUGUGUAUUUCAUAUAAAACUGAGUGAAUGGC